rnacentral:lncRNA from 1 species
CAUGUACAACUUAUUAUCCAAUACAAUACAGCUACAUGAACCGUUUACUGAAUUUCUUUGGGAAUUAAACAAUACUUUUUAUUCCUAGACUCACAUUCACUCAAUAAAAUCCUAAAUCACCCUAAAUCAGUCGUCUUCAUCAAGAAACCCUAAAUUACAAUUACCUCAUGUUGACACCGUCGUUACCACCACCGCUGUCCACUACGCUGCUUCGCCUUCUUCCCAAACUACUAUCGUACCAACAACAUCUCUUCUAUCUCUCUCCUUACACGCUUCCAUCUUCGGUAUCCCUAUGUGACCAUAACCCUUCUUACGCAUCUGUUACCACCACCAUCCUGACGUCAUCGUUACAUCCUCCGGAAACCCUACCUCCUCUUCUCGAUCUCACAAUCUCCUUGAAAUUGAAAUCCAUUCAAUCUGCUAAUAUUUUAUGUAUUUAAUGUGUUCUUUUCUUAUUAGAUUUUGGCUCCAUCCUUCCCCUGGCGUUUUUCUGUUGAAUGAAGGGAUAUCAAGUUUAAAGACACGAGAAGGGUUAAACAUCAUUUAAGGCUCCAGUACUGAAACAAUAAGAAAUGUGAGUUUUUUUAACUUCUAUUCAUUGUAUUCUAAAGAAAAAACUGGAUCUAUAUUCGGUAUUAGGUUAAUUUUACUAAUCUUGAAGUUGUUUAUAUAUUUAUCAUGGUACAAAUCUAGAAUCAACUUUUUUUUUAUCUAAUUUUGAUUUUAUGUUAAUUUUACUCAUCUCAACCUGUUUUGAAGAUGUUUCAUAUCUAGAUGAUUCUGAUGUCGGGUCUUUUCCUGGUAAGAUUAUUUAUUGGUUUUUAGAUAAUUUAUUUUUGGGUUUUUUUCCUGGUAUGUCGAGUUUGUUACAAGAAAUUUGCAAAUGGAACAAUAGUUGACGAUUUUGCCUCCAGUUUUGAUGUUUCCUUUGUAAACAUCACUUUUUUUCUUUUCUUCAUUUGUUGAAGAAUUUGUGUUGGGGAAACAUAGUUUCUAGGAAGUUGUAUUUCUUGAUGUUGCUUAACUAUAAACACCUUCAAUCUAAUUAUGGGGACUGAAAAAUUUGGUCCAAGUGCCAUAUGAGGUUCUCCUCUGAUAAAGUUUUUUUUAUCUGUGAAUUUUUCAUACCAAUUCUAUUAUCUUUUUUUUGUUAAUGUUGGUUAGCUUUUAUAGAUACUUGAAGACAAGCUUUUGUGUUUGGUAUAUUUCUCCAUGGCAUUGGAAUAUCUUGCAGUAGGAAGGACAAGGGUUGGCAAAAACCAAGUAAGAUUUAAGAAUAUUAUUGCCUUUGCUAACUGCCAUGUUUUUACCUAUUUUAGUUUUUGAGUGGCAACUUUUUAACGUUCAUAUGUCCUAGUCCAUAAUACUUUCAACUGACUUAAAUCUUGAUUUAUGUAUCCAUAGAGAUAAUAGUUGCUUAACAUAAGAUUCAAUGAUUUAAUGAAAUAAGGAUUGUGAUAGGUUGAAAGUGGACAUACGAUGCUGGUAUAUGCGACGAAAACUUGGAUCGGUGAUAAUGAGCCCAGGUAGAUCCUAUUUCUCUUUAUCAAAUUUUUAGGUUCUACUUGUUAUAUAAGACAUAAAAUAUAUGAAUACUAUUCUCUUAAGCUUAUGUGUUUUCCAUAUUUACAAAGAAAUGGAGAAUGCAUAUGUACAUGUCAUGUUCUAAAAUAAUUACAGUUGUAUCCAUGUGCAAUUGAAUGCUAAUUGUAGGAUGGUGAAAUCUAACACCAGUUGAUGGUGGUUGGAUGUCUAAAUAUGUUUUUGUUAAAACAAUUGAUACCCUGGCCUUGAAAGUUGUAUUUUGAAGUGUUUAUAUGCCCCCUUCUUUGUAUUUUGGUUCAUGGUGGUUUUAGUGGAUAUAAUAUAUUAUUACUUAUGCGUAUCUUUUAAUUUGAGCGUGUUUGAUGUUUUUUGUUGUGUUUUUUUUAAUCAAGUAUUUAAACUAAUGAAAUUAUAAUAACAAUAUUUUGUACAAGUGAGUUCAAUAUUAUUACAUUAAAAAACAACAUAUAAGCAAUAUUUUGUAAAAGUGAGUUAAAUAUUAUAACGUUCAAAAAGAACAUAUACAUUUACUUUGUAUUUAGUAUUAAAUUUAAGUUAUGUUGUUGUCACCAUUGACAUGCCUAUUAACAUCUCUCUUGGCAGAUACAUCUAAAGAUGGUGCCAGCUGUUGACCAACAGUUCAAUGAAAUGACAACUCUUAUAGAUGAUGAAAGUGAAACACGGAGGUAAUAAGUCAAUUUUGUCAUUAGAACAAUGAUUUAAUAUGAAAACAAGUUUUUUUAGCUCAUACGGGUGAUGAAAUUGAAACAACCAAGAAAAACGUUUACCUUGAAAAUUUACAGAUAAUGUACAGUGGUUUUUUGUCAGUCAAAUUGGAUCCCAGUAAUGAAGUAAUAAAUCUGGAUCGGUAAAUGUCCACUCAUAAUGGUCUAACUCCAAGUAUUUGUGUUGAACACCUUUUGCAUAAACCAAGUAAAUAAUGAUUGUUGUUUUGAUGGGUUAAGAUCAUUAUUAGCAAAAUGAACCUUAUGUGGAAAUUAACAAUUUGUUUAUUUGAAUACUUUGGGCACUUUGCAUUUCUUUGUUAACCAAACUUCAGGUUUCUUAGAACCACUACAGUCCCCUAUUUUAGAGUCCUUCCAUUUCAAGAAAAGUCUUCUAAAACAUGAAGGGGUUCAAAAUUUUCAUCUAUUCUAACUUUACUCGGGUUAAGGGACCUUAAAUAUAUGUAUUAGACAUAAUUUUACUACGAUUAAUAUAAACUUCAUCUAUUUUCCUGAAAGACCCCAACUUUCGUAUUUCUGAAAGACCAAAACUUUCAUACUUCACAAUACUAUUACUCCAAAACAUGCUAUUUGCAUAUUCAUAAAAGCAAUAUUUUACAUUGAUAAAGAGGUUACAAACUACUGGAUACAAACCGACUAUUACAAAGUGUUAUAUAUUACAUAACUACCCAGGAUAUUGUAAUUUAUACAAACAUAAACUGAAGUACAAAAGUAUUAUUACAAACUAUUCUAAUUCUUUCAACAAUAUAUGAUUAUACUGGUUACUUAUCACCUGCAAUUGUUAAACAUUGAUAGGGUAAGCGGUGACGCUUAGUGAGUUCAAUAAUAGAUACAAUAUAAUGUUAUGUCAUAUAUAUACUUUAAUAUGGCAGAAGCAAAAAGAAUCAAGGAGCAACAAAGGCAUAUGUGAAUCAUGUGUUAAGCUUUCCAUAUCAAACAAUGACUUGAUUCAAAGGUAUACAAUCAAUGAAACAUAAUAAUUUCCAUACUUGAUAUACAUCAAUAAAGCUUCGGCCCAAAUGGCACAGAAGACAUAAGAUUUCUGAUUAACAUCUUGGUAGAUUUCAAGCUUAUAGCCCUGUCUAACCAAUUGCCAAUGCCAUAGAAUAGAAGUAAUUCUCUUACGGAGACAUGCUCUACAUGGCCAGAGGCUAUGUACCAGUACCAAUGUAAAUCUAAGUCCUUUCACUGAUCACAUGGUCAAAGGUAUUACUUUUGCUAUAAAAAUAGCGAAUAAAAUAACAUGGGAAAAUAACUCGGAAUAAUAACACUGAAAAGCACAUAGCAUAUAUAAAACAUAACAUACAAUUGUUCCUACAUAUUGAACUCACCUUGAAUUAACCGGGGGUCAAAAUAGUAAUUUGGGCAGUGCUUCGGCUUUAAAUAUGACUUUCUAUGUUGAAAACCGGGAGCUUAAUUGAAAACCGGGCUCUGCGAAGNAAACCGGGCUCUACGAAGGUAGGGCUUCAAAACCCGAAAAGAUAAAUUUUCCGGGCUUCUCGGGCACUUCAUGGCGUAUUUCGGGGGUUAUAAUCGAUACCAGGACUUCGGGGAAUUUUAAUACGAAGAAAAUAUGGAAAAGGGGUAAAAUAUGGCAAUUUUUAAAGAUUACCCGGGAAGGCUAGCAGCCCUCCUUUGAUAGGGCCGAGGUUCGGAGGGUGCGCUGGCAGAAGGAACACGUGGCAUCAGGAGGCGAAGGCAGAUGGCGCAGCAGCGAGGCUCAGACGCAACAGCUGGCUCGGAUGCGAGGGUCGGACGCUAGACGGCUCGGCUCGGACGACUCCAGCGGUGCGAGGCGCGUNNNNNNNNNNNNNNNNNNNNNNNNNNNNNNNNNNNNNNNNNNNNNNNNNNNNNNNNNNNNNNNNNNNNNNNNNNNNNNNNNNNNGAGAUUCCCCGGUCUUAUCCAUAAUUUCUCGGAAAUUGAGCCCCGAUCUUCUAAAAUCCAUAACUUUCGCAUACGAGCUCCAUUUUUGACGUUCUUUAUAUGCACGCGUAGGUAAAAUUACGCUCUACAUCUUUCAUUUAGACCUCGUCAGCUAAUUUUGACUUUAAUUUUUAAAUUAUUAUUUUUAACAAACCGGGACAGGUAAAUUCGUUAAAAAUUCAUAACUUCUUCUUCCGACGUCCGUUUUCGUCAGACUUUUUACUAUUGUACUACUAUUGACGAGACCUUCGAUUCUCGUUUAGGUCGUGUCGGCUAAAUAUCGUUUGAUCUUUCUUUUGAGUUUUUAGCUGUCUACUGUUAUUCCGAAACUUAGAAAAAUCAUAACUUCCUCAUAUGAAGUCAGAUUUUGGCGUUCUUUUUAUCGAACUUCUCGGUUUAACGAAUACUACGAUUUUCAUUUAAAUCACUAAGGCUAAAAAGUAGUUUAUCAAAAACUCACUUUUUACGUCAUUCGGCGUCGUGUCGGUUUUGUCGCGAAUCUUCGAUUGAUCAUAACUUCUUCGUUAUAACUCGGAUUUCAACGAGGUUUUCGCCUACAAGUUUCUAACGAGAUUAUUUACAACUUUCAAUAAUAAAAUUUUACUUAUUUCAAAUUUUAUAUUUUCGCUAAAUUUCACUAUUUGACUUUUAAUUGGAAUCUCAUAAGACUUCCAAUAUUUUCUGAGUGAUUCUAAACAUAAUUUUACUUCAUUUCUAGUAAAAACUAUCUGUUAGAACUCAACACUCAAUUUCACAUAAUAUUUCAGAAUUUUAUUCAUUACAAAACAGGAUUUCAAAACAUGUAUGUUACAUUUCCCAUGUAUGUCCUUAGGUAGCUAAUGGCAAUGCUCCUAGCUAAAACAAACAAACCAAAGUCCAAAUAUACAAAUGGUCCUUUGAAGUGAUAAUAGAGCAACUUACCCUCCUCAACAUAGCCAAUGGACUUCAUCAUGUCGUUAGUAUCAUGAACACAUAACUCAUCAAUGUUAACUAGAUCAAAAUAUUUUUCUUUUCCAUUGGCCUCUCUCUUUUCCAGGAAACAUCUUAAACUUUCCAUCAUAGAAUAACGAUGGAGAAGAUUGUGGAAAUGACCAAUUAUGAAGGAGAAAGCUUGAGCUUACUUAGUGAAAAUGUGUGUUUUAGAUGAAAUUGUUAAGCAUAAAAAUGAUUACCAUAAUGUUUUCCAAUGUCGAUUUCACCAAUGUUUUCUUUAAUCCUCCAACGCAUCAUUGUUACUUUGAUGAAUCUUGAAGAAAGUUGAGAAGGUAGGGUUUCUUGAACUUUAAUAAGUUGAGAGUUUUUUUUUUCUUUUUAAAAAAAAUGACGUAAACAAGCGAAUGAUUGGGAUGGGGAUAAAACAUUUGGCAUAACCAUUUACGUGUCAUAUAUAAAACGAGGAAAAUACCCCAUAUGUCAUGCGGGUGCGCUAAACGGACGAGGUUGACGGUCAUCGGAUGCAAGACUAGACAUGUAAUAAAAACAGAAGGGAAACA